rnacentral:rRNA from 1 species
GACGAACGCUGGCGGCGUGCUUAACACAUGCAAGUCGAACGGAAAGGCCCUGCUUUUGUGGGGUGCUCGAGUGGCGAACGGGUGAGUAACACGUGAGUAACCUGCCCUUGACUUUGGGAUAACUUCAGGAAACUGGGGCUAAUACCGGAUAGGAGCUCCUGCUGCAUGGUGGGGGUUGGAAAGUUUCGGCGGUUGGGGAUGGACUCGCGGCUUAUCAGCUUGUUGGUGGGGUAGUGGCUUACCAAGGCUUUGACGGGUAGCCGGCCUGAGAGGGUGACCGGCCACAUUGGGACGGAGAUACGGCCCAGCCUCCUCCGGGAGGCAGCAGUGGGGAAUAUUGCACAAUGGGCGGAAGCCUGAUGCAGCAACGCCGCGUGCGGGAUGACGGCCUUCGGGUUGUAAACCGCUUUCGCCUGUGACGAAGCGUGAGUGACGGUAAUGGGUAAAGAAGCACCGGCUAACUACGUG